AACGAAUAAUGCGAAUAAAACGAAUAAAGCGAAAAAGCGAAUAAAGCGAAUAAAGCGAAUAAAACGAAUAAUGCGAAUAAAACGAAUAAUGCGAAUAAAACGAAUAAUGCGAAUAAAGUGAAUAAAUAAUUAAAAAAAAAAAAAAUAAAACACGUGAUGUUUAUUUGUAUAAUACUUUUUUUUUAAUACCUCAUUCUGUGUUUUUUCUUGUAAUAUAAUUCUUUUAUACAAAAUUAAUAAAUAAAUGUAUGGGCUCAAGGAGACAAAAGUUUAAAAAGAUUAUUCAUUAAACAACAUUAGUAAAAAUUCAUAAAAUAGUUCAUAAAGAAAUCCACAUGCAAACAUCAACAAAAGUAACAUUAAAAUAACAAGUAUACCAAAAAAAAAGAAAAAAAAAAAUUAAAAAAAAUAAAACAAUCCAAACCAAACAUAAACAAAUGUAGCUAACAGAACAUAACGACCACAAUGUAAUAGUAAAAUGUGAAACGUAAAAAGAAAAAAAAAGAAAGAAUUAAUUAUAAGAUUAGAAAAAUGUAAAUAAGCAUACAUAUGCACAUAUAUAUAUGUAUGUACUAAAUAGUACUGCAUUUUUUCCUGUUUCAAUUACAGGUAGGUGAAAGGAGAAAAAAAAAGGAACUCCAACUGACUGACAAGUUGCUCAAUAACAAUAUAUAUAUAUAUAUAUAUAUAUAUAUGUAUAUAUACAUAUAUAUAGAUAUAUAUAUUUUUUUUACCUACCUAUCAGUAGUUCUUACCAUGUAUUAUAACUAAAAAUCAAAUAUAUAUCUUAAGUAUAAAUACUCAUAUAUUUAUUCACCUAUUGUGUGUAAUUGUUAUUUUUUAUUUUUUUUACAUGCUUAUCACUCGCUUGUUUUGUGUUUAUGUUUAUCAUGUACAUAUAUAUAUAUGUAUAUAAUUGAUCAAAAACGUAUGUACACUCAUAUGUAUAAUUGACAGAAUAGGCUACAGGUGUAACAAAUGAAAGGGGUUAUAUCUAUAUAUCUAUUUUUUUUAUCAUAUAUAAGCAUUCAACAUAUAAAAAAAAAAAAAAAAAAAAAAAAAAAAAAAAAAAAAAAAAAAAAAAAAAAAAAAAAAAAAAAAAAAAAAAAAAAAAAAAAGUUUUACAAAAGUGGGGACAUAAAAAAAAUUACAAUAUAAAUGAAAAGCCUUUGCACAUUAUUUAUAUCUAUGUAGUUUAAAAUGUUAUUGUAUGAAGAAACAAGUAAAUACGUAUAUAUGUAAUAUAUAUAUAUGCUAGUACCUACUUUAGUAGUAUAACAUUUCCCUCAAACUAUUAAGAAUCGUUUUUUUUUUAUUUAUUUUUUUUUUUUAUAACAUGAUCAAAAUAGCCAAUUAUGGUCCAAAAAUUAUGGUCCAAAAAUUAUAGUCCAAAAAUUAUAAUCCAAAAAUUAUAGUCCAAAAAUUAUAAACCUAAGAUUAUGGUCUUAAAAUUAUGGACCUAAAAUUAUGGUCCAAAAAUUAUGGUCCUAUAAUUAUAGUCCUAACAGUCAAUAUAUGUAUAUAACCCCCUACCCCCAAUAAAAAAAAAAAAUACUAUAUUUCA
ensembl:lncRNA